AAGGAUUUAAGUUAAAGUAAACUAGUAACCUUCAAAGUUACCAAUAAAGCCCUUAUCCUUUAAGCCUUA
rnacentral:tRNA from 1 species